rnacentral:rRNA from 1 species
GAUGAACGCUGGCGGCGUGCCUAAUACAUGCAAGUCGAGCGAACGGACGAGAAGCUUGCUUCUCUGAUGUUAGCGGCGGACGGGAGAGUAACACGUGGAUAACCUACCUAUAAGACUGGGAUAACUUCGGGAAACCGGAGCUAAUACCGGAUAAUAUUUUGAACCGCAUGGUUCAAACGUUAAAGACGGUCUUGCUGUCACUUAUAGAUGGAUCCGCGCUGCAUUAGCUAGUUGGUAAGGUAACGGCUUACCAAGGCAACGAUGCAUAGCCGACCUGAGAGGGUGAUCGGCCAGACUGGAACUGAGACACGGUCCAGACUCCUACGGGAGGCAGCAGUCGGGAAUCUUCCGCAAUGGGCGAAAGCCUGACGGAGCAACGCCGCGUGAGUGAUGAAGGUCUUCGGAUCGUAAAACUCUGUUAUUAGGGAAGAACAUAUGUGUAAGUAACUGUGCACAUCUUGACGGUACCUAAUCAGAAAGCCACGGCUAACUACGUG